GCCUGGAUGGCUCAGUUGUUAAGCAUCUGACUUCGGCUCAGAUCAUGAUCUCAUGGUUUGUGAGUUUGAGUUUCACAUCGGGUG
rnacentral:tRNA from 1 species